GGCCUGCGCGGAAGAUGUAACGGGGCUAAACCAUGCACCGAAGCUGCGGCAGCGAACGUAUCACCCAAGACAACUUUACGGAGUUGACGAUUGACGGAGCGAAGCGACGUCAAAGCGUUCAUUAAAGUCGAGUUGGCUUAGGGAUACGUUCGUUGGGUAGGGGAGCGUUCUGUAAGCCUGUGAAGGUGUGUCGUGAGGCAUGCUGGAGGUAUCAGAAGUGCGAAUGCU
rnacentral:rRNA from 1 species